GGGUUAGCCGGGACCUAAGGAGAAGCCGAGAGGCGAAUCUAAUGGAAAGCGGGUUAAAAUUCCUGCGCCUGCGUACACUAAAAAGGGGACGGAGGUAUGUAGUGUCUAGGUACUGACGGAAAAGUGCGUUGAGAGGAAGCUUAGGCGGACUCGAAGACAUGAGUUACCUUCCAAGAAAAGCCGAAGUACGCAGCCCGUACCGCAAACCGACACAGGUAGUCGAGGAGAGUAUCCUAAGGCGCUCGAGUGAUCCACGGUUAAGGAACUAGGCAAAUUAGCCCCGUAACUUCGGGAGAAGGGGCUCCCACCGCGAGGUGGGACGCAGUGAAGAGGCCCAGGCGACUGUUUAACAAAAACACAGGACUCUGCGAAAUCGAAAGAUGAAGUAUAGGGUCUGACACCUGCCCGGUGCCGGAAGGUUAAGGAAGGGAGUUAGCUUCGGCGACGCUCUUGACUGAAGCCCCGGUAAACGGCGGCCGUAACAAUAACGGUCCUAAGGUAGCGAAAUUCCUUGUCGGGUAAGUUCCGACCUGCACGAAUGGUGUAACGAUCUGGGCACUGUCUCAACCGUGAGCUCGGUGAAAUUGAAGUAUCGGUGAAGAUACCGGUUACCCGCAACGGGACGGAAAGACCCCGUGAACCUUUACUAUAGCUUCACAUUGGUCUUGAGUAUAGGAUGUGUAGGAUAGGUGGGAGGCGAUGAAGUUGCGACGCUGGUUGUGGUGGAGCCGUCCUUGAAAUACCACCCUUCUUAUACUUAGGUUCUAAUCCCGAUUUAUCGGGAGACAGUGUGUGGUGGGUAGUUUGACUGGGGUGGUCGCCUCCGAAAGAGUAACGGAGGCUUGCAAAGGUACCCUCAGCAUGGUUGGUAACCAUGCGAAGAGCGCAUGAGUAUAAGGGUGCUUGACUGCGAGACGGACGCGUCGAACAGGGACGAAAGUCGGCUCAAGUGAUCCGGUGGUUCCGCAUGGAAGGGCCAUCGCUCAAAGGAUAAAAGGUACUCCGGGGAUAACAGGCUGAUCUCCCCCAAGAGCUCACAUCGACGGGGAGGUUUGGCACCUCGAUGUCGGCUCGUCGCAUCCUGGGGCUGGAGAAGGUCCCAAGGGUUGGGCUGUUCGCCCAUUAAAGCGGCACGCGAGCUGGGUUCAGAACGUCGCGAGACAGUUCGGUCCCUAUCUGUUGCGGGCGUUGGAGUAUUGAGGAGAUCUGACUCUAGUACGAGAGGACCGGGUUGGACGUACCGCUUGUGUACCAGUUGUACCGCCAGGUGCACCGCUGGGUAGCUAUGUACGGAAUGGAUAAGCACUGAAAGCAUCUAAGUGCGAAGCCAACUCCAAGAUGAGUACUCCUUGAGGGUUGUGGGAGAUGACCACGUUGAUAGGCUACAGGUGGAAGCGCAGUGAUGUGUGGAGCCGAGUAGUACUAAUUACCCGAAAGCUUCCG
rnacentral:rRNA from 1 species